ensembl:lncRNA
GUGAUUUUCAGGUAAAAUGGGGGAUUUUCAAUAAGAAAACGCGUGAUUUUCGCUUAAAUGGGGGAUUUGCGAAGAGAAAACGCGUGAUUUUAGAGUAAAAUGGGGGAUUCUCGAAGAGAAAACGCGUGAUUUUUGGGUUAAAUGGGGGAUUUGCGAAGAGAAAACACGUGAUUUUUGAGUUAAAUGGGGGAUUUACGAAGAGAAAUUGCGUCAUUUUCGGUUAAAGGGGGGAUUCUGGAAGAGAAAAAGCGUGAUUUUCAAGAUAAAUGGGGAAUUUACGAAGAGAAAACACGUGAUUUUCGGGAUAAAUGGGGGAAUCCCGAAGAGAAAACGCGUGAUUUUUGCAUAAAUGGGGGAUUCCUGAAGAGAAAAGGCGUGAUUUUCAGGUUAAAAGGAAGAUUUCCAAAGAGAAAAUGCAUGAAUUUCGGGUUAAAUGGAGGAUUCUCGAAGAGAAAAUGUGUGAUUUUCGCUUAAAUGGGGGAUUCUCGAAGAGAAAAUGCGUGAUUUUUGCUUAAAUGGGGACUCUCGAAGAGAAAAUGUGUGAUUUUCGCUUAAAUGGAGGAUUCUCGAAGAGAAAAUGCGUGAUUUUUGCUUAAAUGGGGACUCUCGAAGAGAAAACACAUGAUUUUCACUUAAAUGGAGGAUUCUCGAAUAGAAAAUGCGUGAUUUUUCGGGUUAAAUGGGGGAUUUGCGAAGAGAAAACGCGUGAUUUUCGAUUAAAUGGGGGAUGUGCGAAGAGAAAACGCGUGAUUUUUGGGUUAAAUCGGGGAUUUGCGAAGAGAAAAUGCGUGAUUUUUGCUUAAAUGGGGGAUUUGCGAAGAGAAAACGUGUGUUUUUCGGGUUCAAUGGGGGAUUCUCGAAGAGAAAACGUGUGAUUUUCGGGUUAAAUGGGGGAUUCUCGAAGAGAAAACGCGUGAUUUUUGGCUUAAAUGGGGGAUUUGCGAAGAGAAAACGCAUGAUUUUCGCUUAAAUGGGGGAUUUGCGAAGAGAAAACGCGUGAUUUUCGGUUAAAUGGGGGAUUUGCGAAGAGAAAACGCGUGAUUUUUGCUUAAAUGGGGGAUUCUCGAAGAGAAAACGCGUGUUUUUCGGGUUCAAUGGGGGAUUCUCGAAGAGAAAACGCGUGAUUUUCGGGUUAAAUGGGGGAUUUGCGAAGAGAAAACGCGUGAUUUUCACUUAAAUGGGGGAUUCUCGAAGAGAAAACGCGUGAUUUUCGCUUAAAUGGGGGAUUUGCGAAGAGAAAACGCGUGAUUUUUGCUUAAAUGGGGGAUUUGUGAAGAGAAAACGCGUGAUUUUCGCUUAAAUGGGGGAUUUGCGAAGAGAAAACGCGUGAUUUUCGGGUUAAAUGGGGGAUUUGCGAAGAGAAAAUAUGUGAUUUUUGGGUUAAAUGGGGGAUUUGCGAAGAGAAAACGCGUGAUUUUCGCUUAAAUGGGGGAUUUGUGAAGAGAAAACGCGUGAUUUUCGGGUUAAAUGGGGGAUUUGCGAAGAGAAAACGCGUGAUUUUCGGGUUAACUGGGGGAUUUGCGAAGAGAAAACGCGUGAUUUUCGGUUAAAUGGGGGAUUUGCGAAGAGAAAACGCGUGAUUUUUGCUUAAAUGGGGGAUUUGCGAAGAGAAAACGUGUGUUUUUCGGGUUCAAUGGGGGAUUCUCGAAGAGAAAACGCGUGAUUUUCGGGUUAAAUGGGGGAUUUGCGAAGAGAAAACGCGUGAUUUUCACUUAAAUGGGGGAUUCUCGAAGAGAAAACGCGUGAUUUUCGGGUAACAUGGGGGAUUUGCGAAGAGAAAACGCGUGAUUUUUGCUUAAAUGGGGGAUUUGCGACGAGAAAACGCGUGAUUUUCGGGUUAAAUGGGGGAUUUGCAAAGAGAAAACGCGUGAUUUUCGGGUUAAAUGGGGGAUUUGCGAAGAGAAAACGCGUGAUUUUCGGGUUAAAUGGGGGAUUUGCGAAGAGAAAACGCGUGAUGUUCGCUUAAAUGGGGGAUUUGCGAAGAGAAAACGCGUGAUUUUCGCUUAAAUGGGGGAUUUGCGAAGAGAAAACGCGUGAUUUUUCGCUUAAAUGGGGGAUUUGCGAAGAGAAAACGCGUGAUUUUCGGGUUAAAUGGGGGAUUUGCGAAGAGAAAACGCGUGAUUUUCGCUUAAAUGGGAGAUUUGCAAAGAGAAAACGCGUGAUUUUCGAUUAAAUGGGGGAUGUGCGAAGAGAAAACGCGUGAUUUUUGGGUUAAAUCGGGGAUUUGCGAAGAGAAAAUGCGUGAUUUUUGCUUAAAUGGGGGAUUUGCGAAGAGAAAACGCGUGAUUUUCGGGUUAAAUGGGGGAUUCUCGAAGAGAAAACGUGUGAUUUUCGGGUUAAAUGGGGGAUUCUCGAAGAGAAAACGCGUGAUUUUUGGGUUAAAUGGGGGAUUUGCGAAGCGAAUACGCGUGAUUUUCGCUUAAAUGGGGGAUUUGCGAAGAGAAAACGCGUGAUUUUCGCUUAAAUGGGGGAUUCUCAAAGAGAAAACGCGUGAUUUUCGGGUUAAAUGGGGGAUUUGCGACGAGAAAACGCGUGAUUUUUGCUUAAAUGGGGGAUUUGCAAAGAGAAAACGCGUGAUUUUCGGGUUAAAUGGGGGAUUCUCAAAGAGAAAACGCGUGAUUUUUGGUUAAAUGGGGGAUUCUCGAAGAGAAAACGCGUGAUUUUUGCAUAAAUGGGGGAUUUGCGAAGAGAAAACGCGUGGUUUUCGGGUUAAAUGGGGGAUUUGCGAAGAGAAAACGCGUGAUUUUCGCUUAAAUGGGGGAUUUGCGAAGAGAAAACGCGUGAUGUUCGCUUAAAUGGGGGAUUUGCGAAGAGAAAACGCGUGAUUUUCGCUAAAAUGGGGGAUUUGCGAAGAGAAUACGCGUGAUUUUUCGCUUAAAUGGGGGAUUUGCGAAGAGAAAACGUGUGAUUUUCGCUUAAAUGGGAGAUUUGCAAAGAGAAAAUGCGUGAUUUUCGGGUUAAAUGGAAAAUUCUCGAAGAGAAAACGCGUGAUUUUUGCUUAAAUGGGGGAUUUGCGAAGAGAAAACGCGUGAUUUUUGCUUAAAUGGGGGAUUUGCGAAGAGAAAAUGCGUGAUUUUUAAGUUAAAGUGGGGAUUCUAAAGAGGAAACGCGUGAUUUUCGGGUUAAAUGGGGGAUUUGCGAAGAGAAAACGCGUGAUUUUCGCUUAAAUGGGGGAUUCUCGAAGAGAAAACGCAUGAUUUUUGGGUUAAAUGGGGGAUUCUCGAAGAGAAAACGCGUGAUUUUCGGCUUAAAUGGGGGAUUUGCGAAGAGAAAACGCAUGAUUUUCGCUUAAAUGGGGGAUUUGCGAAGAGAAAACGCGUGAUUUUUGCUUAAAUGGGGGAUUUGCGAAGAGAAAACGCGUGAUUUUCGGUUAAAUGGGGGAUUUGCGAAGAGAAAACGCGUGAUUUUCGCUUAAAUGGGGGAUUCUCGAAGAGAAAACGCGUGAUUUUCGCUUAAAUGGGGAGAUUAUGCGAAGAGAAAACGCGUGAUUUUCGCUUAAAUGGGGGAUUUGCGAAGAGAAAACGCUUGAUUUUCGCUUAAAUGGGGGAUUUGCGAAGAGAAAACGCGUGAUUUUCGCUUAAAUGGGGGAUUCUCGAAGAGAAAACGCGUGAUUUUGGCUUAAAUGGGGGAUUUCGAAGAGAAAACGCGUGAUUUUCGGGUUAAAUGGGGAUUUGCGAAGGAGAAACGCGUGAUUUUCGCUUAAAUGGGGGAUUUGCGAAGAGAAAACGCGUGAUUUUCGCUUAAAUGGGGGAUUUGCAAAGAGAAAACGCGUCAUUUUCGAGUUAAAUGGGGGAUUUGCGAAGAGAAAACGCGUGAUUUUCGCUUAAAUGGGGGAUUCUUGAAGAGAAAACGAGUGAUUUUCGGGUUAAAUGGAAGAUUUCUGAAGAGAAAACGCGUGAUUUUCGGGUUAAAUGGGGGAUUCUCGAAGAGAAAACACGUGAUUUUUAGUUAAAUGGGGUAUUAGCGAAGAGAAAACGCGUGAUUUUCGCUUAAAUGGGGGAUUUGCGAAGAGAAAACCGUGAUUUUCGAGUUAAAAGGUGGAUUUGCAAAUAGAAAACGCGUGAUUUUCGGGUUAAAUGGGGGAAUCUCGAAGAGAAAACGCGUGAUUUUCCGGUUAAAUGGGGGAUUUGCAAAGAGAAAACGCGUCAUUUUCGGGUUAAAUGGGGAUUUGCGCAGAGGAUAUGAGUGAUUUUCGGGUUAAAUGGAAGAUUCUCCAAGAGAAAACGCAUGAUUUUCGGGUUAAAUGGCGGAUUUGCGAGGAGGAUAUGCGUGAUUUUCGAGUUAAAUGGGGGAUUUGCGAAGAGAAAACACGUCAUUUUCGAGUUAAAUGGGGGAUUUGCGAAGAGAAAACGCGUCAUUUUCGAGUUAAAUGGGGGAUUUGCAAAGAGAAAAUGCGUCAUUUUCGAGUUAAAUGGGGGAUUUGCGAAGAGAAAACGCGUGAUUUUCGCUUAAAUGGGGGAUUCUUGAAGAGAAAACGAGUGAUUUUCGGGUUAAAUGGAAGAUUUCUGAAGAGAAAGCGUAUGAUAUUCGGGUUAAAUGAGGGAUUCUUGAAGAGAAAAUGAGUGAUUUUCGGGUUAAAUGGGGGAUUCUCGAAGAGAAAACGCGUGAUUUUCGCUUAAAUGGGGGAUUUGCGAAGAGAAAACGCGUGAUUUUCGCUUAAAUGGGGGAUUUGCGAAGAGAAAACGCGUGAUUUUCGCUUAAAUGGGGGAUUUGCGAAGAGAAAACGCGUGAUUUUCGGGUUAAAUGGGGGAUUUGCGAAGAGAAAACGCGUGAUUUUCGGCUUAAAUGGGGGAUUUGCGAAGAGAAAACGCGUGAUUUUCGCUUAAAUGGGGGAUUUGCGAAGAGAAAACGCGUGAUUUUCGGCUUAAAUGGGGGAUUUGCGAAGAGAAAACGCGUGAUUUUCGCUUAAAUGGGGGAUUUGCGAAGAGAAAACGCGUGAUUUUCGGUUAAAUGGGGGAUUUGCGAAGAGAAAAACGCGUGAUUUUCGCUUAAAUGGGGGAUUUGCGAAGAGAAAACGCGUGAUUUUCGGUUAAAUGGGGGAUUUGCGAAGAGAAAACGCGUGAUUUUCGCUUAAAUGGGGGAUUUGCGAAGAGAAAACGCAUGAUUUUUGGUUAAAUGGGGGAUUUCCGAAGAGAAAAUGCGUGAUUUUCGGUUAAAUGGGGGAUUUGCGAAGAGAAAACGCGUGAUUUUCGCUUCAAUGGGGGAUUCUUGAAGAGAAAACGAGUGAUUUUCGAGUUAAAAGGUGGAUUUGCAAAGAGAAAACGCGUGAUUUUCGGGUUAAAUGGGGGAUUUGCGAAGAGAAAACACGUGAUUUUCGGGUUAAAUGGGGGAUUUGCGAAGAGAAAACGCGUGAUUUUCGCUUAAAUGAAGGAUUUGGAAGAGAAAACGCGUGAUUUUCGGGUUAAAUGGGGGAUUCUCGAAGAGAAAACGCGUGAUUUUCGGUUAAAUGGGGGAUUUGCGAAGAGAAAACGCGUGAUUUUCGGGUUAAAUGGGGGAUUUGCGAAGAGAAAACGCGUGAUUUUCGCUUAAAUGGGGAUUUCGAAGAGAAAACGCGUGAUUUUCGCUUAAAUGGGGGAUUUGCGAAGAGAAAACGCGUGAUUUUCGGGUUAAAUGGGGGAUUCUGCGAAGAGAAAACGCGUGAUUUUCGGGUUAAAUGGGGGAUUCUCGAAGAGAAAACGCAUGAUUUUCGGUUAAAUGGGGGAUUUGCGAAGAGAAAACGCGUGAUUUUCGGUUAAAUGGGGGAUUUGCGAGAGGAAAACGCGUGAUUUUCGCUUAAAUGGGGGAUUUGCGAAGAGAAAACGCGUGAUUUUCGAUUAAAUGGGGGAUUUGCGAAGAGAAAACGCGUGAUUUUCGCUUAAAUGGGGGAUUUGCAAAGAGAAAACGCGUCAUUUUCGAGUUAAAUGGGGGAUUUGCGCAGAGGAAUACU